rnacentral:rRNA from 1 species
GCUGGGCUACACACGUCAUUCAAUGGGGGGACAGUGGGCAGCGGGAGCGCGAGGUCGAACUAAUCUCCAAAAGCCAUAUCAGUUCGGUUUUCACUAUGCAACUCGGGUGCAUGAAGUAGGAAUCGCUAGUAAUCGCAGAUCAGCAUGCGGCGGUGAAUUCGUUCCCGGACCUUGUACACACCGCUCGUCACAACAGGGGAGUUGGUUCUACGGGAAGGUAGUGCAAUAACCGCGAGGAGGCAGCUGCCCACGGUAGGGUCAGCGACUGGGGUGAAGUCGUAACAAGGUAGCCGUAGGGGAACCUGCGGCUGGAUCACCU